GCUGUUCGACGAAAGACAGAGCCCUUCGGGAAAUGUAGUUCGGGAGCGUACCAGGCCUUCCGGCGCUGGGCUUCCGCUUCCGGUAGCCACUGGCGGCUCUAGUGCUACAGCUGAGGGUCUGUGCUGGGCUUCGAGCGCUGCUUGGGACUUCACGUGGCCGCGGAGAAAGUUCUAUGGGGCUGAGUCGUCCGCAGCCGCAAGCCCUAGACGGGCAGGAGAUUUCAAGAGUUCGACGUAGUGACUCAAGGGCAGGUGGCUUUCCAGUGAGACGCUGGGAGAGGUUUGAGUUUUGGAGCACAGCUGUCGGGUUCUCUGAGCUGAACGAUGGCAGUGGCUGUGGCCCAACAGACACAAACUCCUGAAGCGCAGGAAGAGCUUCGCACAGUGAGGCUGGAAGAAGAUUCCUGCUGGAAGCAGGAGGUUUCCCUUCCAGGCAAUGCCUCUGGACCAGAGCCCUCCUGCCACAGCUUUUGGCAUGUCUGCUCCCAGGAAGCACCAGAACCCUGGGAAGGCCUCAUCCAGCUCCGGAAGCUCUGUUGCCGCUGGCUGAGACCAGACAGUACGAAAGAGCAGAUCCAGGAGCUCCUGGUCCCAGAACAGUUCCUGACCCUCCUUUCCCCAGGAGAUCAGAUCUGGGGCCCACAGCAGCAUCCUGAAGUGUAGCAAAGGCUGUAGCCCUGCUGGGAGACAGCUGCAGGUAAGACAGGACAGCGUCCUUCUGAGUCGUUCACAUAGAGCACCCCCCGCCCUCCCCCGCGCAGUGGCCGCCGUGGGGGUGAUGUGUGAUACUCUGGUAUUUGCGUCCAACUGCAAUUUGCUAUUCCCUGGCCCUGGAAGCUGCAAUUUUCCUUGCAAGUUCACUCGGGCUCUUCAAGGAAGGCCCAGCCGGUUCUUUUCUGAGUGUUGCUGCCUGCUGUUAAAUAAGAGAACUGCCUGGAAUGCCUGAGACGUGCAUGUGGCUGGGAGGACACUUCGAAUUCUGCUGCAGCCAGCUGGGAGCAGGUGGCUCCACGGUCACUGUGGGCACUUCUGAGCCUGUUGCAGAACUGCUGAAUCAUUUGGUCAUGCUCUGUGGGUUUGGUUUUUUUUUUCAAGACAGGGCCAACUUGCAGUGAUCCUUCUACUUCAUCUUCCCCAGUGUUAGAGCUACAGGCGUGCGCUUCCUUGCCUAGAAAUCCUGUGUUUUGCCUCGGGGUUGGCAGGGCAGGUGGGAGCAGCUGCAGGAGAGCAGGGUGGCUGGGCUGGGCCUUGUCCCUGUGGAGUCUUCACAUGGCCAGACUCCCUCCUUUGCUGCUGCAGGCCACCACCACCAAGCCAAGGCCUGGAGAACGGGAAGGUGGCAGGAUGCACUGGGGCUGAGGAACCAAGAAUUUUGGGGAAUUUUCCGAGUCCAUGAAAAACUGCUGCCGCCACGCAGCCGCCAUGUGCACUGGACGGUGGCCCAGCGGGUGCAGGAGAGGGGCUUCCUGUGGGCCUGGGCAGCGCUCCUGAGCCGGGGAGGCUGUGGGCAGGGCUGAUCUGGGCCUGCGCAGGAGCACAGUCCCUGGAUGGCCUCUGAUGUGCAGAACAAACAGGGCUUGGGAAUAAAUGGAACAGUUUUUCACUCCUAAAA